ncrna:Sulfitobacter noctilucae L2-Alphaproteobacteria ribosomal protein leader
GGGGACCUUCGGGGCCCUAUAACCAUCGGCAGACACCGGCCUUCAAAAGCCAUCUCUGCCGCACAGCUAAACGGAAGACAGACA